rnacentral:rRNA from 1 species
GAUGAACGCUGGCGGCGUGCCUAAUACAUGCCAGUCGAGCGAACAGACGAGGAGCUUGCUCCUUUGACGUUAGCGGCGGACGGGUGAGUAACACGUGGAUAACCUACCUAUAAGACUGGGAUAACUUCGGGAAACCGGAGCUAAUACCGGAUAAUAUAUUGAACCGCAUGGUUCAAUAGUGAAAGACGGUUUUGCUGUCACUUAUAGAUGGAUCCGCGCCGCAUUAGCUAGUUGGUAAGGUAACGGCUUACCAAGGCAACGAUGCGUAGCCGACCUGAGAGGGUGAUCGGCCACACUGGAACUGAGACACGGUCCAGACUCCUACGGGAGGCAGCAGUAGGGAAUCUUCCGCAAUGGGCGAAAGCUUGACGGAGCAACGCCGCGUGAGUGAUGAAGGUCUUCGGAUCGUAAAACUCUGUUAUUAGGGAAGAACAAAUGUGUAAGUAACUAUGCACGUCUUGACGGUACCUAAUCAGAAAGCCACGGCUAACUACGUG